rnacentral:rRNA from 1 species
AUUGAACGCUGGCGGCAUGCCUUACACAUGCAAGUCGAACGGUAACAGGUCUUCGGAUGCUGACGAGUGGCGAACGGGUGAGUAAUACAUCGGAACGUGCCUAGUAGUGGGGGAUAACUACUCGAAAGAGUGGCUAAUACCGCAUGAGAUCUACGGAUGAAAGCAGGGGAUCGCAAGACCUUGUGCUACUAGAGCGGCCGAUGGCAGGUUAGGUAGUUGGUGGGAUAAAAGCUUACCAAGCCGACGAUCUGUAGCUGGUCUGAGAGGACGAUCAGCCACACUGGGACUGAGACACGGCUGAGACUCCUACGGGAGGCAGCAGUGGGGAAGUUUGGACAAUGGGCGAAAGCCUGAUCAGCAAUGCCGCGUGCAGGAUGAAGGCCUUCGGGUUGUAAACUGCUUUUGUACGGAACGAAAAGCCCCGGGUUAAUACCCUGGGGUCAUGACGGUACCGUAAGAAUAAGCACCGGCUAACUACGUGCCAGCCGCCGCAGUAA